rnacentral:sRNA from 1 species
GAAAAAAAGUGUAAAGGUGCAAUAAGUAGUCCAUAAGAAACAGUUCCAACACAAAUCCAAGAUUGCUGCUUUUGGAAAAGAUGCCACAACUAGACAUAGUUGCCGCAGCCCCUGUUUCCUCACACUAAGUAAUCCAUAAGACACCGCCGUUACACACUGUGCUUAUGCCAAAAUUUCUGCCCUCGG